rnacentral:lncRNA from 1 species
CAUGAAGCUAAGUAUCACCUUCCCAGCCAACAGCUGUCAGAAGCUCAUUGACUUGGACAAUGAACACAAAGUACUUUCUAUGAGAAAUGAAUGGCUGCAGUUAUUGGCUGCUCUGGGUGAAGAGCAGAAAGGUCAUGUGGUCCAAUUUGGUGAUAACCACCAAGUUUUCCCAUGACACAAGGCAUCUUGACCCAUGACAUCGUGCACCUACUAUUAAAUAAGAAUCACUCUUAUUAUGGACAAGAGAACUGAAGUACAGUUGUUCUACAUACAAGAAUGUUCAUGGAUGCAUUGUGAACGGCAAUCUGAAUGUCCUUAUAUUGGUUAUUGUAAAUCAGGGGAGGAAGCAGAAUGGCUUCUGGAGAGAAGGAUAAUGCUGGACCAACAGAUACUACUGUGCUGUUGGUGCCUCACAGAGUUAACAGAAUCCAAAAGCUUUCAAGCUCUCUAAAGAAAUGAUAUCUGUAACUAUGUUAUCAGAAAUCCCUUAAUCAAAGAAGUCAAGAAGCCCAAGACUAAAGCACCCAAGAUUCAGCAUCGUGUUAUUCCAUGUGAUAGGAACACUGAUUUACUGCUCUAAAGAAAAUGUUCUAAGAAAAACAAAGAGGAGGCUGUAGAAUAUGCUGAAACAACUGCCAAGAGAAUUGAGGAAGCCAAAGAAAACUCCAGGAACAAAUUGC